CCGCCAAAGGACCUUCAAACUCCAGUCAGUAAACGCAGACGUCUGAUAAACAAGUUAAUAAACUAAAACUUUCAACAACGGAUCUCUUGGUUCUGGCAUCGAUGAAGAACGCAGCGAAAUGCGAUAAGUAAUGUGAAUUGCAGAAUUCAGUGAAUCAUCGAAUCUUUGAACGCACAUUGCGCCCCUUGGUAUUCCGGGGGGCAUGCCUGUUCGAGCGUCAUUACAACCCUCAAGCUCUGCUUGGAAUUGGGCACCGUCCUCACUGCGGACGCGCCUCAAAGACCUCGGCGGUGGCUGUUCAGCCCUCAAGCGUAGUAGAAUACACCUCGCUUUGGAGCGGUUGGCGUCGCCCGCCGGACGAACACUUCUGAACUUUCUCAAGGUUGACCUCGGAUCAGGUAGGGA
rnacentral:rRNA from 1 species